CACAUUGCAGCACACAAUCAGGUUUCUCUCUUCAGAAAAGAACAGUCCUUGAUGAUGGGUCCAAUUUCACAAAUAAAUGUAAGUCUAAAUUAGACUCUGCUUUAUAGAUUCAUAAGUUGGGGUUGGAGCCAACACCAAGAUCACUAGAACCAGGGCAAAAAGAGAGGGCAGGAGAGCAGAGCAGAAGAGGAGCCCUAGAAGGAUGGCAGGAGUUGAAUAGGUCUGAAAAUGUGUCUCUUUAUAGCACAGAGACUUCCGUGUGCAGGAGCCACCCUGGGAGAUGUGUGAGCCUCUGUGGUCACAGCUCCUGUGGGACAAGUUUCCACUGAAGGGACAAGGACAGUGGAGAAGUGAAGCUGACCCAGCUGAGGACUGACCACAUAAAGCCCAUGAUGGACUCAGCAGCAGCUGGACACAGGCCCCGCCCACACUCGGCUCCUCACAGCCUUCUCCAUCCCCACCUGCAACAGGCUCAGCACAGGGAACAUGCAGAUUCUGGAAGGUUCUCAGUAAGAAAGAGGUUGCAGCUCAGUGCUGCAGGAAGUUGAGACACAGAUGGAGACACCCAGCCCCCCCUCUCUGGAAGAGGAGAGAUGACUGGGGAGGGAACACAGGUCAGCGUGGGGACAGGGGUCAUGGUGGACACGGGGUGGGCUGUCUUUCCACCUCCUCACAUUGUGCUAACAGGGACGCAGACACAUUCAGAUGCUUUUGCAGAAAGAGGUGCCAGAGGCUCUUGAAGUCACAAAAGGGAGGGAGGAAGAAAUCCUGCGUCUCAGUCCCAUACAUGGCAGCCGUCUCAGGCUACAGAAAACAACAGGUGUGGUCAGAUUCAGGUCAGUCAUGGUAAGUGAUGACACUCUGAACAGUCCACCACACAUUUGAAAUGUCCCAAUCAAAGACUCCCAAGUACCUAGUCUUUUCCCCUUGGCCACACCCCCCAGAAUCAUACCUUAACAAGUUGUGAGAGACACAUCAGAGCCCUGGGCACUGUCCCUGCCUGAGGUAAAACAAAACAGGACCUGGUCAGAGCCUGCAGGAGAUGUGGGCCAGGAGGGAUUAUGGGGUGGGUGAGCUCCUUCACACUCCCACCCCCCACUUACAUGCAGCCUGAGAGUAGCUCCCUCCUUUUAUGCUAGUGGGAAGAAAAUGUCCUGUGAGGGGACAGGGAGGAGGCAGGCUUUUAGAGAAGCCUCCUAAACUUGGAGGUGUCGGGGUCCGGCAUGUCUGCCGGGGGACUACCGACCUGCGGUAGUCCCUGAGACCUCCAACGUAGAUGUCUCGUUCAACCUGAGAGAGAGAGUGCACGGAAGAGAAAGAAUAUAGAAAAGCAGAGUCUGGAGGGCUGUGUGAAAAUUAUGGUCAAAACGCAGCAAAUUUAUUUUUGUGGGUUACAGUUUUUACGCCUUUUUUCUUGUUUACAUUUACUUUAUCUCAGUAGAAAGGGGUAAACAGAAAGGAAAUAGAAACUCCAUAAAAAAUAGUUAUCAGCGGCUUGUGAUACUGCUCAGAAAGCAGUUUAAGGGGGCUUGUGGUAGUAGUUUACAUUUCAAAGAUUUUACAUUUCUAAGAUACAAUGGCACC
rnacentral:lncRNA from 13 species